rnacentral:rRNA from 1 species
UACGUAGGAUGCGAGCGUUGUUCGGAAUUAUUGGGCGUAAAGAGCGAGUAGGCGGUAAAUCAAGUCUUAUGUGAAAUCUCCCGGCUUAACUGGGAGCGGUCAUGAGAAACUGAUUUGCUUGAGGAUACCAGAGGUAAGUGGAAUUCCCGGAGUAGCGGUGAAAUGCGUAGAUACCGGGGGGAACACCAGAGGCGAAGGCGACUUACUGGGGUAUUCCUGACGCUGAGGCGCGAAAGCAUGGGUAGCAAAC